AGGAGGAACAACCCCAGUGGCGGGGCCAGCUCUGCAGCCCUGGAGUCAGCUCCCGCAGUAGCUCCAGAGCUCUCCGUCUGCAGGGCCUGGAGGCUCUGGGCGGGG
rnacentral:pre_miRNA from 1 species